GAAGGACCCGGCUGCACCUCUCAAGGGAUCUGUUGGGUUCCAGACUUCGGCGUCUGCAUGCUGAUGGCACAGGAGAACAACCUGGGAGGGGCCCAGAUGUCGGGGGUGUACAGAGCAUGCCAGUGGAACGCUCAGCCUUGCGAUGAGAAGGUCAUGACCAUCACUGCCGGAAAAGGGCUGUAUUGGACGAGCAGCACCUAAUGCUGCACCGCCGAUAACUGCAAUGUUGCUUCCAUCAACGUGCCGCCUGUGAGCCGCACCUCCAAUGGGCUGAAGUGCCCCUCAUGCUUCGCCUUUGGUUCAGCCUCUGACUGUGAGGCGGAUGAGACGCUGAUGUGCACAGGAGCCCAGGAUCACUGCAUCACCAUCUCAGGGGUGGUGAACGGAGAAAGUGGCCUUGCCACCCCAUUCGUCGCCAAGGGCUGCAGCACAGCCACAGCCUGCUUUUUGCCUUUGGGGAUGGGGCUGUACUCAGCAGGGAUCGCCUUUAACCUCAACAGCAUCACGUGCAACCCGUCGCCUAAGAGCAGCAGCGGACAGUAGAUCUGGCUGAAGGACGAGAACAUGCAAAGUCUGUCCUCUGACAGAUAAUGGAGAAUGGCCUAAAUUUCUUCCCUUCCUUACCCUUCCCUU